rnacentral:lncRNA from 1 species
GAGACUCUUCACACAUCCUAUCUCAUCCAAGAUUGUAUAUCUAGAGUAUGACUCGAGUGGCCUGAUAGUGAUGACUCAACAAAUUUAUAUAUAUUCUGAUACCAUUUUAAAAUUUAGAUUGAGUCUAAUUCUUCGUUUACAAAAUCAUCUUGUGAAGUAUGGACAGCAAAUGUUAUUAUAAUCAAUAUGUCAACAUGAUACUUAAAAUGAACAUAAAAAAUGAAAAUAUAGAAUUAUAAUUCAAAAAAGAUAAAAGGAAAAGAUAUGAUGUACAAACCGAGAAAUUAUUUGAUGAAAUUGUUUGGCGAUAUAGAGCUUCUUCUAUAUUUGUUGUGAAUUUAUAGAGAAUAACAGCAAUAACACCAGCCAUAACUGCUCCUAACAAUGCUUGAUCAGGUGAUGGUUUUUUCUUAGAUUUCUUGAAAGAUGACUUCUUCACACCACCAGAAGACCUAUAUUUCUAAAAUCAACAAUCCAUUUCAUUAAAUAAUAUUAAUGUACUUAAUUAUAGUAAUGAUCUUGCUUUAGAAUUCUGUUUUUGUUUUAUAUAUGAUCAUGCUUUGAACUUUGUUUAUGUUCUAAUGAACAAUGCAUGAGUCAUAACUUGAUCAAAGUCUCAAGAUAAAAUAAAUGACUAGGAAAUCAAUUUUGAAUCUUAUUUUAGUGUUUGGUUUAAAAUAAAUUGAAAAGAAAGAAAAAAGGUUGAAAAAAAAAAAGGCAGUAUUGUUUUAAUUUUGAAAUAAUUCAAAUAUUAGUCAAUUUAAUUAAUGGUUGGACUAAAAUCUCUUUAAAAAUAUCCUAAAAAUAAUAAUUAUUUUAAAUAGAUAUUUUGAGAUGUUUUGAAAAUAAAUUGAUGUUUUUUUCUCCUAAUCCAGAUAGGUCUUAUUGCCGAGUUAGGAUCCUCUUCAUUUUAUCUUUUCAUUUUUUCUCUCUUUUACUAUAGUUUUGAAGAAUUUUAGAAUACUCUAUCUGUUACAUAUUAUAAGUAAAAUUUUAUAUAUUAAAUAAUUGAACCACCGAAUAUCACAUAAUUGUUUUUAUAUGUCUAAAACUAUAACAAUGGUAAAAAUAGAGUAAAUAAAAAAUGAAGAGAAUCUUGAUCCUUUAUCGCCGAUGUAUCCUUAAGAACAUUUUUCUUUAUAGAAUGAUGAGCAAUAAUAACACAAUCAUUCUAACACUAUUUUUUUCAACACCUUAAAAUAAUCAAACUUUCAUAAAUUUUGUAAAGAAAAGUGGAAAUGUUAGUAGAAAGUGCUAAAUCAAUAUUACUAGCAUAUAU